CCUACGGGUGGCUGCAGUAGGGAAUAUUGCUCAAUGGGGGAAACCCUGAAGCAGCAACGCCGCGUGGAGGAUGAAGGUUUUCGGAUUGUAAACUCCUUUUGUUAGAGAAGAUAAUUACUGUAUCUAACGACUAAGCACCGGCUAACUCCGUGCCAGCAGCCGCGGUACUACGGAGGGUGCAAGCGUUACUCGGAAUCACUGGGCGUAAAGAGCGCGUAGGCGGCAUGUAAAGUCAGGUGUGAAAGGCGCAGGCUCAACCUGGGUAUGACAUUUGAUACUUGCAAGCUGGAAUGCGGUAGAGGUAAAGGGAAUUCCUGGUGUAGCGGUGAAAUGCUUAGAUAUCAGGAGGAACAUCGGUGGCGUAAGCGCUUUACUGGGACGUAAUUGACGCUGAGGAACGAAAGCCAGGGUAGCAAAUGGGAUUAGAUACCCCGGUAGUC
rnacentral:rRNA from 1 species